UCUUGUAUUGUUCCUUUUAUUAUUAUAUUCUUCAAUUUUUUUUUUUGUAUUUCUUUGUUAUCCUUAUUGACUUGUGUGUGAUAGUGUGUAUGAUUUUUAUCUUUUUUUCUCUAUAAAAAAAAUAAGUGUGUUCGUACAGGAAUAAAAAAAAAAAAACUACUACGAAUAAGAAUCAGAAAAAAAGAGACAAUAAAAAUACAUACCUAUCUACCUACCAUACAACAACAAGAAAUAAAAAAAAAUUGGUAUAAAUGUAUUUGUAUGUGAAUUUUUAAAUUGAACUCAUUUUUUAUCACUACAAAGAGAAUUUAUUAUAGAAAAUAUAACGAGCAGAACAAAAACAACAACAACAUUCAUUCAAGCAGCAAAGGAAACAAAAAAAGAAAAAAAAAAUUAAAAUUAAUCAUUCACAAGCAAUAAAGAUGCACCAACUAGAAUUUUUCUCAUACAAAAGAAGUGCAGCAGGAAAAUUGAAGAUACUAGGUUACUAAAAGAUAUACGUGAAAGAAGACUCCUAUACACGAAGAGCGAUGCGCGAGUAAAAAAUUGCUAGUUCAGCGAAAAUAUUGGUAGGUACUACCUUUGCUGUUGUGCUUAAUAGUUAAGUACAAUCUAGUAUCUAUCUAUCUAUAACAUACCUACCUUUCGAGACUUGGUUUCUUUUGAAAAGUCUUUUUAAUAAUAUACAAGUAUAAUAUAUUUGCAUAUUCAAGUGAAUUUUUGAUUUCUAUACAGUUUGAAAUUGUGUACAAGAAAACUGUUAAAAUAAUUUACAUAUUUUAUUUUUUUUUUAUUUUUAUUUUUUUAGCUAGAAAUUGCAAUGAUUCAUUGUGGGAAGAGACAAAGCAAACUAUGAAUUACCAACAACCUCGCAAGCACACAAAGACAUUAUACGUGGUUUCGUUGUUGUUGUUCAUAUAAGUUUAGGUAUAUUGAACUCGAAUAACAAUGAUGAUUCAGAAUAUUAUUAUACGUAUAUUUUAUUCAGACAGCCAGCUAUUAAAAGUAAUUAGCAAAAAUUUUAUAAAGAAAAUAAUACAAAGAAAAAAAAAAGUAUUUUUAAUUUAAAUUCUCAAUUUUUUUUUAAUUAGAAAAAAUAAAGUUGAAGGAGGAGUAUAAAAAUGUAGUUGAUCUUAAUAGAUGAUGUUAAUUCAAUUAGAUAUGAUAAAAUUAUUUAUUAUUAUAUCUUUGUUCACUGUUAUAUUUAUGGCGUCAGAAAUUUAAUUAUUUUAAUGGUUGAUAUUUAGGAUAAAAUUUUUGUUCUUCCUACUUGAUUUCGAAUUAAUUAAUUUAUCAAACAAUUGACCGCUGCGUUUUGGAAAAAAGUUUAAGAAUUUUGGUUUCGAUAUUUGGGUACUUGUUUCGUAUAGCAUUUACUUCUAAUGAAGCUCAGAAAUUUCCCUUGCAAUUAACUGGUCGAGGGAAUAUAUUUCUAUUUUUCAAGGAAAUUUUACUGCCAUUUCAUUAUUGGAUCGUUUGAGAUAAGUUAAAGGCAAGGUUUUAUUCCAUUUUGUCUUAAUUUUUUGCUAGAUCAAUUUUUUUUUCUGUUCCGAAUCGGAUUGGUGCAAAAAUUUGUUCUUGUAACAGUAUUUGCACCAAUAUCAUAGGAAAUAGCAAUUUAAACAUUUUUUUUUUUAACUUAUGAAAAUCAGUAGUGAGAGCUGGAGUAAAAAUCGGUUCCCGCUUUCGAAAAAUU